rnacentral:rRNA from 1 species
AGUGAACGCUGGCGGUAGGCCUAACACAUGCAAGUCGAACGGCAGCACAGUAAGAGCUUGCUCUUACGGGAGGCGAGUGGCGGACGGGUGAGGAAUACAUCGGACUCUACUUUUUCGUGGGGGAUAACGUAGGGAAACUUACGCUAAUACCGCAUACGACCUACGGGUGAAAGCAGGGGAUCUUCGGACCUUGCGCGAUUGAAUGAGCCGAUGUCGGAUUAGCUAGUUGGCGGGGUAAAGGCCCACCAAGGCGACGAUCCGUAGCUGGUCUGAGAGGAUGAUCAGCCACACUGGAACUGAGACACGGUCCAGACUCCUACGGGAGGCAGCAGUGGGGAAUAUUGGACAAUGGGCGCAAGCCUGAUCCAGCCAUACCGCGUGGGUGAAGAAGGCCUUCGGGUUGUAAAGCCCUUUUGUUGGGAAAGAAAAGCAGCAGGUUAAUACCCCGCUGUUCUGACGGUACCCAAAGAAUAAGCACCGGCUAACUUCGUG